rnacentral:lncRNA from 1 species
GUGGCUGUUUUAAAUCCAAUAAAACUCCAAUCAAUCCUAAUCAUAUUAGGACCAGAUUAGACCCAAAUAAAUAAAAAAUUAAAUCUGAUUUAAAAAAUAAACUAUUUAGAUUAGAUAUCACCUAAUUGGAGAAGAAGUUCUAGUCCUUUUAGACUCUUGCUUGGUGCUUGAGUCAAACUCAAUUUAAUCCUAAUCCAAUUAGGAUUUG